AUCUAUGGCCAUACCACCCUGAAUGUGCCGGAUCUAGUCUGAUCUUGGAAGCUAAGCAGGGUCGGGCCUGGUUAGUACUUGGAAGGGAGACCGCCUGGGAAUACUGUAGGCUUUUUUUU
ensembl:rRNA 5S_rRNA 5S ribosomal RNA